UUCCAAUUCCGGCAAAGAGUAUUUGUCUAGAAGAACCGAAGAAAGCUUGGCUAUCCGUGCUCGCCACAAGACAGGCCAAAAUAAGUUGAUCGAUUGUGAUCCUAGCAAGGGAGACUGGGCAUGGAAAAACAAGGGCUUAAUUUUACAUCCUCGAAUCGUCGACCCCCGAAAACUUAACGUACUGAAGGAACUCUUCAAAAUUACUGUAGAGUCCUGAUGAGCUCCAUUAAUCUUUCCGCAUAAAGCAAAAAUAGCAAGAUUGCAGUUUAGAAGUCGAAACGAUUGAUGUCUCCAUCGCAGGAUUGAACGGAUUGAACCGAUAAUGCAGCGCUAUAAUGAUAAUAUAAUAUACAAUUAAUUAUGAAAUAUAAACAAAAAAUAAUCAAU